rnacentral:lncRNA from 1 species
AAAUCACAGCUCUAGUUUGCCAACGCAGUCGUUCCUCUCUCCGCUCCCUGCUGACUUCUGGAGAGGAGCCGUUUCUCUCAACUUCUCAGCGCAAAAAAAUCCCGGUUAUUAUUAUUAUUUUUCCCCUUUGUCAUUUUUCAUUUUUCUCGCACCGAUCUCCCCCCCCUUUAAGCGCUGGGCAGGGGCCUCUUCAGAAAGAAGCGCCGUCAAAGCUGCCAGGCUCCCUUCCGCCCGCUGCGUGGCUAAACGCUCUCCGCGUGCGUUAUUUGGCACUAGGUUUCUAGCGCCAAGUGAUUAAAACAUUUGGAAAGUUGAAUUUUUUGAGGGGGUAGCGAUGUGAGGCCCGCGAGUGUUCACGACUCCUCUCUUUCCCCCGUGCCCAAAGGCCCCGCGUGGGCGCUGCCGCGCGAUAGCUUUGGCCGCGGUGCCUCCUGGUUGGGUAAAUGAUGGAGAUUUCCAGGCCAAAAGAGGCACGAGGCAGGUCAAGGAUGGGGAAAACCGGAGCAAACCUUUGUGAAACAGGUGUAAAAUGACCUUUUUAAAGAGCCGAAUGUUAUAGAAAAGGGAUGCGAGGGAAAAGAGAGGAGAGCAGCUGGGAAUACUGUUUAAAAAAAAAAAAAUCACUUUUAAUGACAACGGUGCCUGACCCUUAUUCACGUGACGCCGCAAGGGAGGUUUUAAGAAACCGAGCAAUUUCUGCAGCGCUCCUUCCUUGCGCCGUGCUAAAAAAAAAAAACAAACCCAAACUUGACUUUCUUUCCAGCAGCCUCAGCUCGUUCCUGCUGCAAGUCGAGCUCCAGCGACGCCUCGGACACCAGAGUUUGCUCCCCAAAACAGCGAAACCGUGGGGUGAGCAGCCUCCUGAGCUGCUGUCGUGAAAUCCCGGCCUCGGCAAUCAAAGUAUGAGGCGAACCCAGGAGCGGGGGCUAGAGGGACCGAAAGACCCCCUUAAAUACCACGAGGCACCCGAAUUGCAAGAGCUGCCAGCAGUGAAACCGGGGAGGGGGCGCCACCACCGCCGGCGGCCGCUCACACCUUCCUCCUCCUCCUCCUCCUCC